rnacentral:tRNA from 1 species
GGCCUGCUAGCUCAGUCGGUUAGAGCUUCGUGCUAAUAACGCGAAGGUCACAGGUUCGAUGCCUCUGCAGGCCA